UACGUAGGUGGCAAGCGUUACUCGGAAUCACUAGGCGUAAAGCGCAGGUAGGCGGUUUGAUAAGUCUGUUGUGAAAGCUCCCGGCUUAACUGGGAGAGGUCAACGGAAACUAUCAGGCUAGAGUGUGGUAGAGGAAGAUGGAAUUCCCGGUGUAGCGGUGAAAUGCGUAGAUAUCGGGAGGAAUACCUAUGGCGAAAGCAGUCUCUGGACCAUCACUGACGCUGAUCUGCGAAAGCUAGGGGAGCAAACAGG
rnacentral:rRNA from 1 species